GCUGGGUGAUAGGUUGGACUGGAUGAUCUUGGAGGUGUCUUCUCACCUGGUCAAUUCUAUGAUUCUAUUAUAACAAAAAAUGUCAAGGUUAGAGGGAAACACUAUCACAUUACCUCAGUUUUCUGGAAGGAGGUUGUAGUAAGGUGGGGUUCAAUCUCUUCUUCCAGAUAUCAAGUCAUAGAAUGAGAGGAAGUGGCCUCAAAUUGCACCAGGGAAGGUUUAGAUUGGAUAUUGGGGGAAAAAAAUCUUUACUGAAAGAGUGAUCAGGCAUUGGAACAGAUUGCUCAGGGAGCUGAUCCCUGAUGAUGUUAGAAAAAAUCUAGACAUGGCAUUUCAGGACAGGGUUUGAUGGCCAUGGUGGUUUUAUGCUGGUGGUUGGACCUGAUGAUCCUGAAAGUCUUUUCCAGUGAAACAAUUCUACAAUUAUAUGGUCACAGUUGAAACUGAUAUUGUAAUUUUAGCUUGGAUGGCAUUCAAGAGUGUCUAUAUCUUGUGUUGGAAAAAUGUCUGUUUCCAAAGAGGCAACAGAAUGUCCAUGAUUUAAAGUAAAUAACAUUUUGACACUUCACUGGUAUUUGGACAUUAAGAAUUUUUAGAAGUGAAAUUGAGCUGUGACUAUGUUACUACUAUCCAAGUCCUAAAGGAGAUGUCAUCUGGCUAGAAAAGGGAGCAGCACACACACACAAAAGCAAGAUUGCAGAAAUUAAAUGUUGUGAUUUAAACAAAGAGGCAUUGAUGAGAUAAUAAAAUCUGUUUAAAUUGAAUUUCCCUUUUUAUUAGCUCAGCAGAAUGUGUCUUAAAAUGCUUCUCUUUCCAGUUUCAAUGUUUCCUUUAUCUUGACGUAAUCACAGAAUGGCUGAAGCAGGAAGGCACCUCUGGAUAUUAUCUAGUCCAGCCUCCUUGCUCGUUUCAACAACACUCAACCAGGGUUCUCAGCUUGAUACCAGGUUGUACCAGGAGAAAGAGAAAGGGAUUAGAGACUCUAUUUUUAAAGUAUUCUGGUGUAAUCUCUUUUAUUUCUUGCUUAGCUGCUAUUUCUAGGAUUAUUUAAUACCUAGUUUCUUUGCAGUGCGGGGUUGUGUGCAUAAUGUCGUCAGUAGGUACAAAUCUACUGCUUCUCAACAUCUCUCCCUUUUUCUUGAAAGGUACUGCCAAUCUCCUUUCUGUUUCCAAGAUAUCAUUAUUGGUCCUUACCGUCUGAUAGAUGGUUACUCCAGAGUCACUUGCUGCAAAGCUGGGGAAAAGGCAAGAUAUUCAACCUGUUCUGGGCUAAGCUUUCCUCUCAUUAUCCCAGUUCAUGAAACGCUGGAUGUUUCUUUACAGUUGCCAGCUAACAUGGAACGAGUUGUGCCUCUCUAGUCAGAAAUAUCUACACUGAUCCUUCCAGCUAACAAUAGCAGUCAAAGGUAGUUCAUAACAUGGUAGUGCAGAUAUAGUGACUCUAUGUUUGUGCCUUUUCCAUUAACACCUGAGGCCCUUCAUUGCAUGCAUCACAUGCAUGCAAAUGUGAUUAUAUUCUAUUUUGUACAACAGUAUUAGUUUUUAAUUAGUUAUUGAUUAGUGGGGACAAGAAAGGUUUUGAAGUGUUUUAUUUCUUUCAUGCAUUUAUGUACUUGAUUCAAAGUCCACUGAAGUCAGUGGCAAGACUUAAUAAAUCCUACUUUGCUU